GACGAACGCUGGCGGUAUGCUUAACACAUGCAAGUCGAACGAGAAGCUUUUUAAUGAUCCUUCGGGUGAACUAAGAAGUGGAAAGUGGCGAACGGGUGAGUAACGCGUGGGUAACCUGCCUCAUGGAAAGGAAUAGCCUCGGGAAACUGGGAGUAAAGCCUUAUAUUAUUGAGUUGUCGCAUGGCAAUUCGAUGAAAACUCCGGUGCCAUGAGAUGGACCCGCGUCCCAUUAGCUAGUUGGUGAGAUAACAGCCCACCAAGGCAACGAUGGGUAACCGGUCUGAGAGGGCGAACGGUCACACUGGAACUGAGACACGGUCCAGACUCCUACGGGAGGCAGCAGUGGGGAAUAUUGCGCAAUGGGGGAAACCCUGACGCAGCAAUACCGCGUGAGUGAAGAAGGUUUUCGGAUCGUAAAACUCUUUUAUUGGGGAAGAAGAAGUGACGGUACCCAAUGAAGAAGUCCCGGCUAACUACGUG
rnacentral:rRNA from 1 species